UACGGAGGGUGCAAGCGUUAUCCGGAUUCACUGGGUUUAAAGGGUGCGUAGGUGGGCAGUUAAGUCAGUGGUGAAAUCUCCGGGCUCAACCCGGAAACUGCCAUUGAUACUAGCUGUCUUGAAUAUCGUGGAGGUAAGCGGAAUAUGUCAUGUAGCGGUGAAAUGCUUAGAUAUGACAUAGAACACCAAUUGCGAAGGCAGCUUACUACCCGAAUAUUGACACUGAGGCACGAAAGCGUGGGGAUCAAACAGG
rnacentral:rRNA from 1 species